CAAACCCAAAUCCAGCCUCGGGGAUAUAAUAUCAUACAGACAAGUCCUCGGGCUAUUUGGAUGCUACAUUUGGAAGUCGUCAGCUAUGGGGCUUGCACUGAAGUUCAGUGACCUUUCAGGCGCAGGCUUCUUCUUGAAAGGAUGUAAAAUACCUCAGAGAAUCAGGGACUAUCAAUUUGCACGGGGGUAAGGAAUGAGAAAUAAGCACUUCCUGGCCCUGUGACCAGCAGCACAAG
rnacentral:lncRNA from 1 species